GUAGGGAAUAUUGGGCAAUGGUCGGAAGACUGACCCAGCCAUGCCGCGUGCAGGAAGACGGCCCUCUGGGUUGUAAACUGCUUUUAUCUGGGAAGAAAAAGGCCAUGCGUGGCAAAUUGCCGGUACCAGAUGAAUAAGCACCGGCUAACUCCGUGCCAGCAGCCGCGGUAAUACGGAGGGUGCGAGCGUUGUCCGGAUUUAUUGGGUGUAAAGGGUGCGUAGGCGGGUGAUUAAGUCAGUCGUGAAAGACUUCGGCUUAACCGGAGCAGUGCCGUUGAUACUGGUUGGCUUGAGUGUCGGAGGGGUACAUGGAAUUGAUGGUGUAGCGGUGAAAUGCAUAGAUACCAUCAGGAACACCGAUAGCGAAGGCAUUGUACUGGCCGACAACUGACGCUGAUGCACGAAAGUGUGGGGAUCGAACAGGAUUAGAUACCCGAGUAGUCC
rnacentral:rRNA from 1 species